CUACGGGACGCAGCAGUGGGGAAUAUUGGACAAUGGACGCAAGCCUGAUCCAGCCAUGCCGCGUGAGUGAUGAAGGCCCUAGGGUUGUAAAGCUCUUUUGUGCGGGAAGAUAAUGACGGUACCGCAAGAAUAAGCCCCGGCUAACUUCGUGCCAGCAGCCGCGGUAAUACGAAGGGGGCUAGCGUUGCUCGGAAUCACUGGGCGUAAAGGGUGCGUAGGCGGGUCUUUAAGUCAGGGGUGAAAUCCUGGAGCUCAACUCCAGAACUGCCUUUGAUACUGAAGAUCUUGAGUUCGGGAGAGGUGAGUGGAACUGCGAGUGUAGAGGUGAAAUUCGUAGAUAUUCGCAAGAACACCAGUGGCGAAGGCGGCUCACUGGCCCGAUACUGACGCUGAGGCACGAAAGCGUGGGGAGCAAACAGGAUUAGAUACCCGAGUAGUC
rnacentral:rRNA from 1 species